rnacentral:rRNA from 1 species
UCACCUACGGGGGGCAGCAGUAGGGAAUUUUCGUCAAUGGGCGCAAGCCUGAACGAGCGAUGCCGCGUGAGUGAAGAAGGCCUUCGGGUCGUAAAGCUCUGUUGCGGGGGAAAAAAGGCAGCAUCAGGAAAUGGGUGCUGACUGAUGGUGCCCCGCCAGAAAGUCACGGCUAACUACGUGCCAGCAGCCGCGGUAAUACGUAGGUGGCGAGCGUUAUCCGGCAUGAUUGGGCGUAAAGGGUGCGCUGGCGGUCCUGCAAGUCUGGCUUGAAACGCAUGAGCUCACGUCCUGCA